CUCCAGGUUACCCCUUCAUCCGGUAUUAGCAGUUCCUCCACCACCACCAGGUUGAUCAAGAUUAGUAAACUCAAGGAAGAUGAUACCAGAUCAGUCCCGAACUUCGCCUCAACAUCAUACCCUGCCUAGUGUCGAUAAAGAGGAUUCACAAACAAACGAGAUUCAUUUACAAAUAUUUAUUAUCACUUUCUACAA